rnacentral:rRNA from 1 species
AUACGUAGGUGGCGAGCGUUGUCCGGAAUUACUGGGCGUAAAGGGUGCGCAGGCGGUAUGAUAAGUCAGAUGUGAAAUUCCGGGGCUUAACUUCGGAAUUGCAUUUGAAACUGUGAUACUAGAGUGCAGGAGAGGAAAGCGGAAUUCCUAGUGUAGCGGUGAAAUGCGUAGAUAUUAGGAAGAACACCAGUGGCGAAGGCGGCUUUCUGGACUGUAACUGACGCUGAGGCACGAAAGCGUGGGGAGCAAACAGGAUUAGAUACCCUGGUAGUCCACGCUGUAAACGAUGAGUGCUAGGUGUAGGAGGUAUCGACUCCUUCUGUGCCGCAGUAAACGCAAUAAGCACUCCGCCUGGGGAGUACGGUUGCAAGACUAAA